rnacentral:rRNA from 1 species
GACGAACGCUGGCGGCGUGCCUAAUACAUGCAAGUUGAGCGCUGAAGGUUGGUACUUGUACCAACUGGGUGAGCAGCGAACGGGUGAGUAACGCGUGGGUAAUCUGCCUUUGAGCGGGGGACAACAUUUGGAAACGAAUGCUAAUACCGCAUAAAAACUUUAAACACAAGUUUUAAGUUUGAAAGAUGCAUUUGCAUCACUCAAAGAUGAUCCCGCGGUGUAUUAGCUAGUUGGUGAGGUAAAGGCUCACCAAGGCGAUGAUACAUAGCCGACCUGAGAGGGUGGACGGCCACAUUGGGACUGAGACACGGCCCAAACUCCUACGGGAGGGAGCAGGAGGGAAUCUUCGGCCAUGGACGGAAGUCUGACCGCGCAACGCCGCGUGAGGGAAGAAGGUUUUCGGAUCGUAAAACUCUGUUGGUAGAGAAGAACGUUGGUGAGAGUGGAAAGCUCAUCAAGUGACGGUAACUACACAGAAAGGGACGGCUAACUACGUG